GACGAACGCUGGCGGCGUGCUUAACACAUGCAAGUCGAACGCUGAACCCGCUUCGGUGGGGGAUGAGUGGCGAACGGGUGAGUAACACGUGGGCAACCUGCCCCCGGCUCUGGGAUAACUCCAAGAAAUUGGGGCUAAUACCGGAUGUGACCGCUGGCCGCAUGGUCUGGUGGUGGAAAGGGUUUCCGGCUGGGGAUGGGCCCGCGGCCUAUCAGCUUGUUGGUGGGGUAGUGGCCUGCCAAGGCGACGACGGGUAGCCGGCCUGAGAGGGUGACCGGCCACACUGGGACUGAGACACGGCCCAGACUCCUACGGGAGGCAGCAGUGGGGAAUAUUGCGCAAUGGGCGGAAGCCUGACGCAGCGACGCCGCGUGGGGGAUGACGGCCUUCGGGUUGUAAACCUCUUUCAGCAGGGACGAAGCGCAAGUGACGGUACCUGCAGAAGAAGCACCGGCCAACUACGUG
rnacentral:rRNA from 1 species